UUUAAAAUACUUCAAACAAAUGUUUAAUCCGAUAACAGCAUAUUUUGUUUUUCAAAAUGCGUCACUAAAUAAAGCUAGAUUUUAAAAUACACCCCCUAAGCUUAUCGGCUCUAUAACUUCACAUAGAAAACGAUUUUAGUGACGACAAAAAAAAAAAAAAAGACUUUUGCCCCUCAGUAGUCAAGAAGAAGAAAUCCCAAUAUACUACAAGC
rnacentral:lncRNA from 1 species